rnacentral:rRNA from 1 species
ACGCUCGACACCUACUGGAGGCAGCAGUGGGGAAUAUUGCACAAUGGGGGAAACCCUGAUGCAGCGACGCCGCGUGAAGGAAGAAGUAUCUCGGUAUGUAAACUUCUAUCAGCAGGGAAGAAAAUGACGGUACCUGACUAAGAAGCCCCGGCUAACUACGUGCCAGCAGCCGACGGUAAUCUGAGGCGGGCGUGGACGAAGGC